GUUAGGAAUCUUCCACAAUGGGGGCAACCCUGAUGGAGCAACACCGCGUGCUGGAUGAAGGCCUUCGGGUCGUAAACAGCUUUUGUAUACGAAGAAUAUGACGGUAAUAUACGAAUAAGGGUCGGCUAACUACGUGCCAGCAGCCGCGGUCAUACGUAGGACCCAAGCGUUAUCCGGAGUGACUGGGCGUAAAGAGUUGCGUAGGCGGCUUAUUAAGCGAGUAGUGAAAUCUGGUGGCUCAACCAUCAACACAUUGCUCGAACUGAUAGGCUUGAGAAUGGUAGAGGUAGUUGGAAUUUCUUGUGUAGGAGUGAAAUCCGUAGAUAUAAGAAGGAACACCAAUGGCGUAGGCAGACUACUGGACCAUUUCUGACGCUGAGGCACGAAAGCGUGGGGAGCGAACCGGAUUAGAUACCCUUGUAGUCC
rnacentral:rRNA from 1 species